rnacentral:lncRNA from 10 species
CCACCCCCACCCUGCCACAGCUUCGGGACGACUGGAUCGCCGCGCCUGGGCCGGAGCGAGCCAUCUGCGGGCACUAUGCAAAGCGGGAGACGGCGCGAGCGGCGCCCGGCUCACACUAGCUCUUCCAGGACGCAGGUCUUUUUUUUUUUUUUUCUUUUUCUUUUUUCAUUUCCCAGAUACAGCUGAUCGAGUUCGCCGAGUGGCCGAGCGAGUGAGCGCUCCUCCGACUUGGGUGGAGGAAGGCACGGAAAAGUAUACGGGAGAAAAAGUGGGGGUUUUAGGGGUGGGGGUGGCAUAGGAGGAGGGAGGGGGGGAUCUGCAAAUCAUUCCACUUUUUAAACGAUCAUAGGUAGUGUCAAGGAUACGUGUCACCCUUGGUUCCUUUUAAAGGGGAGGUGGACAAUAAAAUACAGGUAGGUUUGGUAUUAAAAUAAUAGGUGCCAGAGGUUUCACAUCGGGUCCGCUGCAUCUGUUAUUAGACGAAGAUCAACAUUGGCUGAGUCCCAGUUUAUCUCCAGUCCAAAUUAUCAGGAAGAGGAAUAUUUACCCUUGGUUACCUCUGACAUUAGUUGGAUUGUAGGUAAAGCAGCCUUUAAAAAUAUAUAUGUUGCAAACAUCUGGCGAUUACCCUUCACUAAUUCACUCGCCCCAGAAAGACCAAAGAUAGCUGUUCAAUACAGGAUUUACACAGUUUUGACGCCUGGGCAACAAACUUUAAAGUUUAUUAGGCAAGAAAUUUCAAACGCAUAAAUCGCAGGCUCUAAAAUAAAGCCCUAGAAAAUUUACUUUGGUUUGACAUUUCUUGCUUGAAAAAUAACCAGCAAAAUUUCUUUAGAUAAUGUGGCUCUUAAAGAUCUCCUUGGGCUUUGCAAGUUACAAAUGCAAGCGAGCCUCAGCCGCAGCUAGAACGUCCCUUUCACCGGGCACAGUAAACGGCUUUUAAUAAAGCAGCCGCGUUUAUGACCUAAAGAUCCUAUAAAAGCUGGGACUUGCAAGAGCUGCGAAGCAGAAACAUUCAUACAUAGUCUAUUAGACACUCAUUUUUGUAAGUAGGAGGAGGACAAGUAGUCUUCGUGUGUCCCUCAAAUUUAAUCAGAUCAAAGGUUGAAUCAUGCUGUGUCGUGACAACAGGGUAUUUAUGAGGUGUGUUACAAGUACACUGGCCAAACACUACCAAUGUCUUCUGCGACACACACACACACACACUCCUUCCUAGGGAAUUUACAAUUUCAGCCUCAAAUUCACCAAACCGUAAAGAGGAUAUUAAGCCCUCCCUUUGAAUAAGAAUAGCGAUGUUAGUAUGUCCGAGUCUAUCCCGGCAGGAAACUUUUGGCACGAAUUUCAAACAGUGAAAAGGAGAAAAAAAAUUAGGUCGGUCAGGUUAGGUGUCGGCGAUAAGAAAAGAGAUUGCGGGAGCAUCCCCAGCCUUCUUCUUUCCCCUUUUGCCGCCCCCACACACUCCCCCCACGCGUCUAUCACGGAAGCAACACAGAGGAGCGCACACGCACCACUCACACCUCCAACUAUUGACUGUUGUAUCAGGUGUUCUAACCGGGAUGUGACAGUUGAGGCUGGGAGCAGAAAUAAUCAACAUGCCCAUUAGAUACAGGACGGAAUAAUGCUUCUAUUGGUUGGGUCCCUUCGAGAGAGAACCAUUCUCUGCUUUCAAUAGGACAGAAGAGCUCCUUGGCACUGGAUGCCUCCGGGUCUGGUUGAGAGAGGAAUGGUUAGGAGACUGUUCUGAGGAUACGCAGACAUCAUCCAAAGCUUCCUACAUUCAGAUGAGGACAGAGGUUGGGCCAGAGCUUUGUAAGCUUGUUACCUAAGGAUGGUUCUGACCAUGUAAGCAGAUCACAGAAGCUGGAGGCAAAGGAUGCCAAGAUGGGAAAGCCACAUAAUGGAAGGAUCCUGGAUUUCAGAGCUGUCACUUGGAGGAGGGGCACCCAGUGAAGGUGUCUUAUCUAACCCACACCAUAUCUUCAUGAAGUGGCCAUAUGGAUUUGAUCCCUAUCCUUCAGAGGUGCUCAGCCUAAGGGAACACGGAUAGUAGAUUAAGCACUGACCAGAGCCAGCCUUGACAAUGUGCUGAUGGCAACCUAGAACAUAAGCAGAGGAGUAUACAGGACAAGAACUUGAUGGUCUCGGGAAAAUGGACAACAUGACUCAGGUGAAAAAGAUUGAUCAUCAGAUGUUUCUUAUGUAUCAACCUGAUAUUUAAAUCCAUGAAGGACAGAGACGACAAAGGCAGGUGGAAUAGAUAGAGAAGAGAUUCAAGGUCUGAGCUCUACAUUACUCAAACUGUUAGAGAUUAGGAAGAAGAGGAAGACCUGGCAAAAGAAUGUCCUGGGAUGUAGAAAGAAAACCAGAAGCUUGUGUUCUCUGGAAACCAAAUGAAGAAAGGGCUUCCAGAAGGACAGACAAAGUGUAGUGUGUCAAAGGCUCCUGAGCAAUCAGAGGAGAGCACAAAGGGGCUCACAGGACUUUGGUAUCUGGAUCACCCAGUGACACUUCCUGAUCACGAGAAACUGUCAGACCAACAGGGGCACUUUCUGAAACCAGCAGUUCUUCAGUGCCCAAAUGCAACCUUGAUGGUUUGAUUUUGGAGGAUGGCAAUUCAUUAACAGCACUCCCCAGUGAUAAAUAUGAAAACCAAUAAAACCCCCCACCCAAGGCAAUCUCUCCCAGCUCCUCGCUUUGAGUAAAGAGAAACCAGGAGAAGGCAGUCCUAGGGCAGUCUCCGGGCCAGCUUUCCCUAAUAAGAAGGCAGAGCUCCUCUUCACCCAGACUUCAGACCUAUAGAGGCAGCCUGGGGUCCCGGGAUGCCCUUGCACUCAGAGAUGUCCCCAGAGUCCUAGGGAAAUGGAGGAUAACUAGGAGGAAGCUGUUCAUGGCUGGCGAUGAGGUCUAUACCUUCUUGUCCGUCUCAGUGCUGUCUGCUAUUGAAUUUUUGUGCAGAUCACAUUAACUUAAAGCCAGUUCUCAAGAAGCUCCCCCUGCCGCCGGCAUAUCCACCAGUUGCUCCCCUUUCCUGCCAUUAAUCAGGGUCUGCUAGUUAGAGAACAAAUUCCUAUUUGUCCAAACAGUUGCCAACACCCCCACCCCAAGGUAGUUAAAUGAGGAUGAAUGGGUCAUUCUUAUUAAAAAAUGACUUAAAUUUCUCAAAUUCUAUUUAUGUUUCUUUUACAUCCCAAUUUUCUAUAGAUUUAGUGACUCCAAAUGAUAAGGUCUCAAGCUCAUAAUAAUUUAUCCCUUGGGUAACACACAAGGCUUGGUGGUAUUUCAGUAAUAUUCAUGACAACAGCAGCUGUCGUGCUAAUAAGGACUGAUGUCACCAGAGCACUUUCUAUGUGCCAAGCAUGGUGCACAACACUUUACAUACAUUAUGUCAUUUAAUUUUCACAAAACCUCACAGAGGUAAAUAUUAUUAUCUUCCUCUGCAUAUAAGGAAAUGAAUGUUCGGAAAGAUUAAGUCAACUCACUGAGGUCCCAUCAGUGCUCUUUCAUAUGCCUCUGUUGCAGUCUCAUUGAACUGCUGAAAUCAGAAAAACCUGGAGACCUUGUUAACCUUCAGAUUCCUGGGCCCCAUCUUAGAUGCAGGGAGUCAGACUUCCUGGGAGUGUGGCCCUGGAAUUUUCAUUUGUAAACACAUUCCCCAAGAGACCUGUAUGCACACUAAAGUGGGAGAAUUCACGAUCUCUGGCUUUUGUGAUGUUUUAAACGCACUAUAUAAUUUCAGUAGCAAAAGAAUUGGGCUUUGGGAAGGGAGUGUGUGGUGAACCCUGAAAGCUGAAUGGACUUCCUUCCUGUGGAGGAGCAGUGGGAGAAACUGGAGGCAGAGAGCUGUGUUUCAUUCCUUGAUUGAGCCUUUGUGAGUUAUUUAAUCUCUUUCAGUCUCUAUUUUUUUCAUUUGUAAACCAGGAAGGAUACUUGUAUUUUCCAGGUGGUUGUGAGGUGUGAAAGAGAUGAGAGUAGAACAAAAUUUUAAAAGUUGAAAGCACUCAACAAAUGUAUUUGGUAUUAAUCAUGGGUUUCCCUGGGGCCGAGGAAGCCACCAGCCACCGCAGGCCUGUACACAAUGCCAGCCACCAUGUAUGGAUACGGAGGAGGCAAAAGGACUAGCGAACACUCCCAGGGACUGGAUGUCUUGAAUAUCUGUCCAACUUUCUUGGGAGGGGCCAUUUCUUCUGUAACUCAAAGGAAUUUAUUAUUUUUCAGCCAGGGAGGCAUGCUUUCUAUCUACUGCUAGUACUCCCAGACCAAGCUGUUUCAGUGGGACUGAGGUGUGACUUCUGCCUCGGUUUCAUCCAUCUGUGCAGGGAAGAGAAAAAUGCCUGCACCUCCACGGUCACACCCUCUGUUGGAACCACCUCCUUAAGCCAGAAUUAUUGAAUGUUCUCUAUGUGCCAGAAUUAUUAUUAUCUCAUUUGAUUCUCACAACAAUGCCAUGAAGUCUAUACAGACAUACCUUGGAAAUACAGCGGGUUUGGUUCCAGACCACCGCAAUAAAGCUAAUACCGCAAUAAAAUGGGUCACACGAAUUUUUUGGAUUAGGCUUCGGCUUAAGGGAAUGUUGUGGCUGGUUUGAUGUUUUAUCCAGACCGCUAACACUUUCUCCCUAUCAGCAAUGAGGCUGUUUUGCUUUCUUAUCAUUCCUGUGUUCACUGGAGUAGCACUUUUAAUUUCCUUCAAGAACUUUUCCUUUGCAUUCAUAACUUGGCUAACUGUUUGGCACAAGAGGCCUGCCUAGCUUUUGGCCUAUCUAAGCUUUUGACUUGCCUUCCUCACUGAGCUUAAUCAUCUCUAGCCUUGGAUUUAACGUGGAAAAUGUGUGACCCUUCCUUUCACUUGAACACUUGGAAGCUAUUGUAGGGUUAUUAACUGGCCUAAUUCAAUAUUAUUGUGUCUCAGGGAACAGGGAGGCCCAGAGAGAGAGAGACGGGAAAACAGAAAGUCAGUGGGGCAGGCAGAACACACACGUUUAUUUAUUAAGUUUGCUGUCAUAUGUUGGUGCAGUUCAUGCUGCCCCAAAACAAUUACAAUAACAAGAUCAAAGAUUCCUGGUCAUAGAUUGCCAUAACAGAUACAGUAAUCACGAAAAAGUUUGAGAUAUUGUGAGAAUUACGCAGAUAUUGUGAGAAAUAUGACCCAGAGACAAGAAGCGAGCACAUGCCGUUAGAAAAAUGGCACCAACAGACUUGCUUGCUGCAGGGUUACACAUACCUUCAAUUUGUAAAAAAAAAAAACUGUAAUAUCUGCAAAACGCAAUAAAGAAAAGUGUAAUAAAAUGCAGUCUGCCUGAACUUCAAUUAUUCCCAUUUUAUAGAAGAGGAAAUAGAUGCAGGGAGUUUGAUCUGCCUGAACUAGUAAAUGGUAGAACUCUGGGACUAACAUUCCUAUCCUCUAUGCUACAUUCCUAGGAAAGAACGCUCAGACAGGGUUGGACUGAGAGUGUGUUAAGCUUUGCACUGUUUUGAGCCCUCUGAAGGAGUGUCCGUAUUUGAAAGCUGGCCUCCUUCCUUUCACUGGCCCUCCACAGUGUGGCCUAAGUUAUUCAAUUAGGAAGGGAAAUAAUUGGCAGUGGAGAAUGCCUCUAGCAGUGGUAAUUACCUCCAGUGCCUUGUAGGAAUAGUCAAGCUACAUUUCAGUUUAUGCUGUAAAACCUUAAUUAUAAUAUAAACAGCUGCCCUUCAGCCCAGUGGGGCAGCCUUCCCCCGCCUUCCUUCUCUGGCCUCUGAAUGGCCCUGCCUCCUGAAUGGUCAGGGAGGUCCAGGGACGGAAGGAGACCUGGGAGGAGGGGAGCCGAUGACUAUGCGUGCGUUGGGGUUUGGAAGACUAAGCUGGAGGGAGCCACUGCCAGGGUCCCAUCUUCAAGUGAUGAAGCCAAAGGCAGCAUCCCCAUUCUUGGUACCACUCACACUGAGUCUCUUGGGGGAGCAGCCUCCAGCCAUUAGCAGUCAGCCCAGUGCCAUUAGGCUAGGAUAGGGUUUAGCAGGCUAUGGUAUCAUUUCAGGGUAACAUCUCUUUCUAUUUACUCCCCUAUAAGGGAGAACAGAGUCUUCCCUUCUAGAUCCAGACUUCCUGGCCAUGUAGGAGCCCUGUUGAGUGCCUGGUGCACUCUAGGUAGUAUGCGAGGCAUGGUUGCAAGGGUUCCCCAUUUCAACUUCACAGCACUUGGAUACACAGAAAAUUAACAUCCUCAUUUGACUAUUGAGGAAAAUGAGACUUUGAAAGUUUAAACGGAGAUAAGGCUUGGGAGGCAGACAGCCCUGUAAGUGACUUAAGUUCAGGAAGGAGAAGGACACUCAAUAUUUUUGUUCAGAGCACUGGGAAGGAGAGAGAGGGAUCAGUCACCAUCGGGCAUUUGAGAAGGUCCAGGAACAGGGGGCUGGUGAGCAGAGGGGGGAAUAACACCAGAGGGGCUGAAAUUGCUGAUUGCUGGGUUCACAGAUCUACCCACGAGCGGCCCAGGUACCCCAUGAGCGGCUGCUCUGUGUCAUCUGACCACUGGAUUGUAACCUGGGCUGAAAGAAUCAGAAGUCAGUGUGGCGAGGCAGGAGUCCUCAGAUGGUCAGAGCUGACUCUUCAACUCUUAAGGGCAAAAUGGAAAAUGUGAGCUUGUUGGUGGUCUUCGAAACACAGUAAGCAAUCCAUGCCCCUGAAGAGCAGGGAUAAUUAUAGGCAUGCCCUUGUUUUAUUGUGCUUUGCAGAUAUUGCAUGUUUUUACAAAUUGAAGAUUUAUGGCAACUCUGCAUACAGCAAAUCUAUUGAUGCCAUCUUUUUCCAAUAUCACAUGCUCACUCUGUGUCUCUGUCUCACAUUUUGGUAGUUCUCCCAAUAUUUCACACCUUAUUAUUAUUAUUAUAUCUGUUAUGAUGAUCUGUGGUCAGGGAUCUUUGAGGUUACUAUUGUAGUUGUUUUGAGGUGCCAUGAACUGCACCCAUGUAAGACAGCGAACAUAAUCAAUAAAUGUUGUGUGUUCUGACUGCUCCACCAACCGACUGUUUCCCUGUCUCUUUCUCUCUCCUCUGGCUCCCUAUUCCCUGAGGCACAAUCAUAUUGAAAUUAGGCCAAAUAAUAACCCUACAAUGGCUUCUAAAGGUUCAAGUAAAAGGAAGAGUCACAUCUCUUACUCUAAAUCAAAAGCUAGAAAUGAUUAAGCUUAGUGAGGAAGGCAUGUGGAAAGCUGAGA